rnacentral:rRNA from 1 species
ACAGGGGCAUUGCCUUAGUAGCGGCGAGUGAAGCGGCAAAAGCUCAAAUUUGAAAUCUGGCACUUUCAGUGUCCGAGUUGUAAUUUGAAGAAGGUAUCUUUGGGUCUGGCUCUUGUCUAUGUUUCUUGGAACAGAACGUCACAGAGGGUGAGAAUCCCGUGCGAUGAGAUGUCCCAGACCUAUGUAAAGUUCCUUCGAAGAGUCGAGUUGUUUGGGAAUGCAGCUCUAAGUGGGUGGUAAAUUCCAUCUAAAGCUAAAUAUUGGCGAGAGACCGAUAGCGAACAAGUACAGUGAUGGAAAGAUGAAAAGAACUUUGAAAAGAGAGUGAAAAAGUACGUGAAAUUGUUGAAAGGGAAGGGCUUGAGAUCAGACUUGGUAUUUUGUAUGUUACUCUCUCGGGGGUGGCCUCUACAGUUUACCGGGCCAGCAUCAGUUUGGGCGGUAGGACAAUUGCAAAGAAAUGUGGCACUGCCUCGGUAGUGUGUUAUAGUCUUUGUCGAUACUGCCAGCCUAGACUGAGGACUGCGGCUUCGGCCUAGGAUGUUGGCAUAAUGAUCUUAAGUCGCCCGUCUUGAAAMAMGGRACMCAAAA